UACAGAGGUGGCAAGCGUUGUUCGGAAUUACUGGGCGUAAAGGGCGCGUAGGCGGUCUUUUAAGUCUUGUGUGAAAUCCCUCGGCUCAACUGAGGAACUGCACGGGAUACUGGAAGACUUGAGUAUGGGAGAGGUAAGCGGAAUUCCUGGUGUAGCGGUGAAAUGCGUAGAUAUCAGGAGGAACACCUGCGGUGUAGACGGCUUACUGGACCAUCACUGACGCUGAGGCACGAAAGCGUGGGUAGCAAACAGG
rnacentral:rRNA from 1 species